rnacentral:lncRNA from 1 species
UUUUUCUUUUUUUUUUUUCUUUUUGUCUUUUUAGGGCUGCACCCAUGGCAUAUGGAAAGCUCCCAGGCGAGGGGUUGAAUCAGGGCUGCAGCUGCCGGCCUACGUCACGGCCACAGCAACGCCAGAUCUGAGCCGCAUCUGCGACUUACACCACAGCUCACGGCAACACCGGAUUCUUAACCCACUGAGCGAGGCCAGAGAUCGAACCUGCAUCCUCAUGGAUACUAGUCAGAUUCGUUUCCACUGAGCCACAACGGGAACUCCCUGUUUUUCAUGUCAAACAGUCUCUCACCAGUGUCCCCAGCUAUCUUGCUCCUUGUGCCACCUGCCUUGCAAAUCCCAGCCUGGCAAAAAUGUGACCCUGUGACUUUUCUCUCCCUAUUUUAGUUUGCUAAGUGCUGGCAGAGGAGGAAGGAAACAAGCGAGCACACAGGCCGGAGCAGCUACAAAUCACGGUCUGCCGUCGAUCCGAGCUUCCCUACUUGCAGAGGUCACUCUCUGCACUUUGCCAGCUUCUGCUACCACUUCACAUGGCAAAUAUUCAGAACUUCCACCUGUCCCGUCAAACUCCAGAUUUCACCUCUCUCCUGUUGGCAGAUGACCUUGUCUUCCGCAGCACUGAUAAAACUGGGGCCGUCCGAAAACUUGUCGGCUUCUUCCGCCUCCAUCAGUAUCCUACCCUUUGUCUUUAGAGAUCCUGCCUCCUGAGCUUUCCGGCCUCCUGACCUGGGUUCUAGCUCUCACCCCCACUGCUUCCUCAAGGAAGCUUUUCCGGCCUGUGUAUGCUCAUUAUCUCCUUCCUACUGUGUCUGUCCCUCAGGCCAAGAUGUCUCUGAUCCUAAAAAUAAAGGUAACUCUCCUCUGGUCCUGCCACAUCGCCCUCAACUUACUGUCCCCUUUCUAAGCUGUCUCUCACACUCAAGUCACCGCAUUUCGGCUUCUGCUGUUUCCCACUGUAUUCAAACUCUCAGUCAGCAAGGACCCUCAAGUGCCAAACCCAACUGGACCUGCUUCUGCUCUUUUUAUAUAUAACUCUGUGCAGUAUCCGCCACUCUGUUCUAUGAUGUCACUAUUUCUUUUUUCUUUUUUUUUUUAAUGGCCGCACCCACAGCAUACGGAAGUUCCCAGGCCAGGGAUCGAAUCCAAGCCACAGGUGUGACCUACACCACAGCUAUAGCAAUGCCAGAUCCUUAACCCACUGCUCUGGGCUGGGGAUCGAACCUGUGCCUCCGCAGCAACCUGAGCCUCUGCAGUAGGAUUCUUUGGAGGGGGGCACCCACAGCAUAUGGAGGUUCCCAGGCUAGGGGUCUAAUCGGAGCUGUGGCCGUGGGCCUACGCCACAGCCACAGCAACACAUGAUCCAAGCCAUGUCUGCGACCUACACCACAGCUCAUGGCACCGCCGGAUCCUUAACCCGCUGAGCAAGGCCAGGGAACGAACCCGAAACCUCAUGGUUCCUAGUCAGAUUCCUUAACCACUGCACCACGAUGGGAACUCCCUUACAGCCCCUUUUUUCACGAGUUAGAAUUUAUUAAGUUCCCAUUUAACGUGAAAAACUGAAAAAGCUGCAGAACUUGCCUUUCUUUUCCAAUGUGUUAUCGAAGAGAAAGCUGAAUUUCUCAGAACUUGGAAACUUGACCUGGCUCUAUGCAUGACAUGUCACAAAUAUCUGCUGUAAACUGGCCCGAGGAAUAAAAAUAUCUAAAUGAUUCUAUCCCCACAAAUACCUGUUAAAAAUUCACACUUCGCAUAUCUUCAAAAUAAAUUUACGUUUAAGAAGAAAUAAUAAGACACAAGAUGGAACACAUAUUUUAAGACAAGUUAAACUUUUCCAAACUAAAACGACUGCAUUGGAGCAAAAUAAAUCAUUCUAUUUUUAAGGCCCUCUGUUCCCAUCUUUUUAGGACUAUUAGGUCUGCCCUCUCUUGCCAAAAACAGUUUUCAAUCAUUCUUCCUGUUCUUUGGUUCCUUGACUCGCAUCACAAAGAAUGUUUUCUGAUUAAGAAACUGAUGUGAAGAGGAGGCUCAAGAAGAGUUUCAAGCAUCUCCUGUCCACAAAAUUCUGUUGUUAAGGUGUUGGGUUCGUACGGGCUUGAAGUUGAAAUCAAUCCUGUUACAUGAUCAGGCCGACUGAUCUUUUCACAUACAUGAAUGCAGCACUAAAAUGUACACCUCACACAGUAUUCGCUUAAGCAAGGAACAAUUUUCUUUCUUCGUAUAAAACUGGGUAAGCCCAAAAAUGCAUUUUGAUUUUUUUUCUCUCCAUUUUCUUCUUUUUGCUUUUUAGGGCCUGAUUUGGGCAUAUGGAAAUUCCCAGGCCAGGGGUCUCAUGGGAGGUACAGCUGCCUAGCCACGGCCACAGCCACGCUUGGAUCCCCCACCCACUGAGCAAGGCCAGGGAUGAACCCACCUCCUCAUGGAUAUUAGUCUGAUUCGUUUACCCCUGAGCCACAACAGGAACUCCCCCCCCCCUCCAUUUUCAAAACACGCUAGGCUCUAGAAAUGUAGUUUGUAUUUACCAGUGUGCACCUCUCCACCCUCCUCUCUCGUUUGCUCAGUACAGAAAGCCUGCCAUAGUACAGAGAAACAGAGAACAUCUUCUGAAUGCCUCCAGAGCUGGAGAAGGUGAAACACUUAGCUACCCAAAACAUUGCAGCAGGAAAGUAGAAGGAGGUGGUGGAGAGAUGACAGACGAACGUAUAUUCAGGAAGGUGCAGUGUGGACAAGGAAGGGUGAGAAUGGCAGUGGAAUGAACAGAAUGAGAAAACUGGCGCUCAGGGUGACGAGAGACGUGAAUGAGGUUGUAGCUUUAAAGGCAGAAGGUAACUGACUUGAUGACGCUUGACGUUGAGGAUGCAAAAGGCCUCCAGCUUCAUCAGGAAGUAAGGUGCAUGACGAACACAGGGCAAAAAGAAGAAAAUGGCAGUUCUUUGUUCACAGGCCGGCAACCAGGGGAAGCGGUGGUUUGGUGGACUUUGUCAUGGCCUGGAUUUUCAGGCCCGGUCUCUGUGCAGGGGUGAGUCUUCGCCUGGAAAGUGAGAAAAGGAACGCCUACCCAACAGAUUGCGGGUGUUCUCAGCCCUCUUUAAAUAAGAGCAGCAGCCUAACUCUAAAUGCCUGCUGUGCGUGGGUCCCGGGAAACCGGCGACUCCAUCCUCAUGCAGAAUCCCUCCAGCCCGCGGUUGGAAAGGCCGAUCCAGAAGAGGCUCUCCUGUCGUUUCGGGCCAUGCUGGGCAGAGAAGAGGGAAAGACCGGGAUGCUGAAAAAGAACGGAGAAUAGGUCCUUUCCUCCUCGGGUCUGCGGCCGGAGCCUCGGGACCCGGGCCCGAAAGUGUCCUUCGGUGAGCGCUGUGAGGGUCCCAGGGCGCGCCCAACGCCGCUCCACAGCCGCUCAGAGGCCAGCGGCAGGU